rfam:Camelus ferus unplaced genomic scaffold scaffold877, whole genome shotgun sequence.
GGGCAUAUAGCUCAGUGGUAGAGCACGUGCUUGGCGUGCACGAGGUCCUGGGUUCAAUUCCCAGUACCUUCA